rnacentral:rRNA from 1 species
UACGAAGGGGGCUAGCGUUGCUCGGAAUUACUGGGCGUAAAGCGCACGUAGGCGGCUUUCUAAGUCGGGUGUGAAAUCUCGGAGCUUAACUCCGAAACUGCAUUCGAUACUGCCGUGCUUGAGGACUGGAGAGGAGACUGGAAUUUACGGUGUAGCGGUGAAAUGCGUAGAUAUCGUAAGGAAGACCAGUGGCGAAGGCGGGUCUCUGGACAGUUCCUGACGCUGAGGCACGAAGGUCAGGGGAGCAAACGGG